CUGCAAUACCCAAUACAUAACAAUUCAAUUACAACACGAAUAGCAACAGUUAAACAAAUCUUCCUGCAACAACAACAACACGAAUUCCUGCAAUUCCCACGAAUAGCAACAGUAAAGCAAGAAAAAAGAUAUGGAAUGAUUACUGUACAUCAACAGUUAAGCAACAUCACAUCCCCAGUACACCUUUGAUUGAGUUGUAUACAUAUCAGGUUUAUCAAGAUGAUUUUGACUACAACUAAUCAAAGUUUUCCACUGCCUGUGUCCUGGGUAGAGAUAUUCCGAACCAAACAUGAGCACAGUGUAACACAAGCAUAGAGCUGAAUGGGAAGUUUUUCAGUCAGAUGUAGAACCAAGCAUACGUUAUGGGACAAACCUACUAGUUAAGGACCAAUAUGCUUAACAUAUAAAAUCUUGUCCCUUGAUUUUAAAUUUAAUACAGCAUGUCAGUUUUGUAGUGUGUGCCCUGGACAAUCUCCAGCUCAACGUUGAACAGCUAGAAGAUGUGACAAAUUUCUUGGAAAAAAUGCCUGAAAUAAAAAGCAAAAAAAAUAAUUAAAAGAAAAGGUAAUUGUGAGAACAACUGAAUAAGUAGUAAUAGCAUGUCAAGGUAUUGUUUAAGAAAAUCAUACGAGUAUAAGAGAGAACAACAUUUCUCUCCGUGGAAAAAAGUAAAAAAUAAGUGUUUUGAGAGAAUGAGCAGCAUUACUAUUGAUGCUAGGCUGCUACAGUAGAUCUGUACUACCAAUCACAUGCACCAACCAGAUGUAUUAUUUCUUUUGAACGAAAACAAACUAAUAUUUACUACAUGCCAAAUGUAUAUUAAUCCCUAUUGUGCUAGACAUUUCAAUGAACAAAAUAAAAAAAUCAUGUCAAACUGUCGCAUGUAACAUUAUCUCACUGGAAUAACUUUUAUUAUUAACAACAUCAUCUUGUAAAUGAGUACACUUUUUCUCAACCUGUCCACUUUGAAGGAUCUUAACCUCACUAUGAUUAUUAGAAUCAUCAAAGAUAAUAAAAUAUUGCAACUGCCAUAAAUUGUUGUCACUUGCUGCCCCAUUCCAUGAUCUUCUCCUAGAUCAUUUAAAGUGUGUUACUAGAUAAAAGAGAAGAAAAGCUCAGAUACAGAAGAAAUAACACUUCCCUUAACAUAAUGCAGACAUAGGAACAGUUGUUCUCAACUUAUUAUUGAGAAGCUAAGAAACACAGAAUAUAUGGGAAACAAUAAAACCUCAACGUAAAACCUGAAGCAAAAAAAUUAAAAUUAACCAUAAAGUAAUCAGAACAUUCAAAACUGAAAUAUUUCCAAUUACUGAAUCAAUAGAUUACCAAAUCUUUCAGGCUGAUUAUUGUUUCAUAGGCUCCAAGUGGAAGACACCAUUAAUCACCAGUUGCAUAGUACUGAACAAAGCAAGCAUCAACAAUUUAAGAUAAUAGCAGCCAGCGUUAGAUUAUAGUUGGGGUAAUCAGUUCACACACUAUGGUCAGUUGGUAAUUAAGUGUCAAGAUACAAACUUCUUCCAUAAAUAUCGUAGAGCACUAAGAUAAACUCAAAUUAUACAUACUUGGUUACAGGCUAACUAAUCAGUUCACACAAUGGUCAGUUGGUAAUUAAGUGUCAAGAUACAAACUUCUUCCAUAAAUAUCGACAAUCGUAGAGCACUAAGAUAAACUCAAAUUAUAUAUACUUGGUUAUUGGCUAACCUAUCAAAAAACAAAUUCACUGAUGCCCCAAAGCACAAAUAAUAAUUUGACUGUUGGAAAAGGAUAUAUACACACACACACAUCUUCCAUCAAGUUUUUAAAUCACCAACAAAUUAUGGGCCUUAAACUUAUUCUCCUCCUAAUAACCACAACUUGAGAAGUAUAUAAGCCCUCACUGUAGACAAUUUUCAACACAUACCACCAAUGGAGAAGAAGGAUUGAGAUAUUUACCAUUGACUUGCUAACAUCCAUGAUCAGGAUUCUCGGAAGACCAACACGAACAUGAUCAAAUUUAGAUCAUGGGGAAACAUUUUCUACAGCAAGAACAAUAGUAGUAUUUGGCAUUGAAGCACAGAAAUAAAAAUGUUGUAUAGUAGAAUCUUUCAAAUCGAUAAGAAUGAUUAAAAAACAAUCUGAACAAUCUAGAAUGUAUAUGAAACUUCAUAGCUGCAAGUACAAAAUUGAAAAAACAGAGAUAUUACUCCACAAAGAGACACUUUUACAAACAUCUUAUGUGCAUUCUAAAGUAAAAACAAAUUUCAUUAACAUAAAUAAAUGUUUCAAGCCAUGUAUAGUAACCCACCAAUUUUACGAAAAUCUCAAAUAAACUCAUAACAAACCUACGAUUUGCUGUGACUAAUCUUUUUAUUAGUGCUUCGCUGAAGUUUCAAUGCCAAUUACAUCUAUCAAUUAUUUUGUAGAAGCUCCUGACCUCCUACAGGCUAUAACCGAACCAAAAAUAGCAUCAGAGAUUCAUAGUAUAGUCUCGACCGAGAAUUAAUGGAGAAUCGCAUCACGUUAUAGAUUUUGGAGGUUAAAUAACACAAUUAACGAUUAAUUUCGACAACUUGUUGCCGAUUUGCUGUAUUUUGCUUGUAGGGUUCUAGCAGUUCGCCCAAAUCGCGCAGAAUGGUACUGAAGCGUAGUACCUUUGUUGUCGAUUUUGCUGUAGUACUUUGUUGCCAAUUUUGCCGAUUUUCUGUAGCGUAGUACCUUUGUCCAGCGGAUAUGGGAGAUUCUGUGUAUUAUUCGAUUUUUCUUGGCUAAGUUAGGGGCAUAACUGUACAGAAUUUGUUAUUACUUUGUCCGCUAGUAUUACCAGCGGACGGCGCAUAUGAACUUAUAAUCUGAACCGUUUAUAUUUUUAAUGAACAAUAUAAAUGCUAUAUACAUAUUUUUGAUCCAUAACAAAUAGAUCCUAUCAUUCCCCU
rnacentral:lncRNA from 1 species